rnacentral:rRNA from 1 species
AUACGUAGGGUGCAAGCGUUAAUCGGAAUUACUGGGCGUAAAGCGUGCGCAGGCGGUUUUGUAAGACAGAGGUGAAAUCCCCGGGCUCAACCUGGGAACUUCCUUUGUGACUGCAAGGCUGGAGUGCGGCAGAGGGGGAUGGAAUUCCGCGGGUAGCAGGGAAAUGCGUAGAUAUGCGGAGGAACACCGAUGGCGAAGGCAAUCCCCUGGGCCUGCACUGACGCUCAUGCACGAAAGCGUGGGGAGCAAACAGGAUUAGAUACCCUGGUAGUCCACGCCCUAAACGAUGUCAACUGGUUGUUGGGGAUUUAUUUUCUCAGUAACGAAGCUAACGCGUGAAGUUGACCGCCUGGGGAGUACGGCCGCAAGGUUAAAACUCAAAGGAAUUGACGGGG